UGUGUAUACAGUGAUUAAGCACAUAGGUUCUGGAGCCAGUCUGUUUCUUUCAAAAUCACCUCAUUGCUUUUGAAGAAUCAGGGAAACCCCCAUGAGACUACAGGUGUGAAGCAAGAUAGAAGCAUCAGUGCAAAAGAGUUCCUCUAAUCUGAUGGGACACUCCCGCAAUGAUGCUUCAGCUGUAUUUUAACCUCAAGAAACCCUAAGAUCCCUCACUCCUAUGCUGCUGUCAACGGGAGGCUAAGAAGCACAGAGAAAUAGGCCAUACAAAGUCUACCUCUCUGAACACUCUGAUUCUCUUACUGAGAUACCUUGGAACAUGGUUUGAAUAAUAUUGCUCUAACUUCUUUCAUGUCAGGAAGCUCUGAGUUGCCAUAGACUUGCGGAAAUGCCUGCUACAUACAUGCGUGUUGAACAAUGAACUUCAUAACUGACAUAUUUAUCAGAGAAUCAGGAUGAGAGAAGAUGCAGAAACACAGAAAGGAAGAGGAUUAGCAACUUUCCCAGAUCUGAGUUGAGCUGAGAUUUGAGUCAAGGCAAUAUUGCUUCUGGGGCUGUAACAACUACAUUUUAUUGUCUCCUGAACAGAUACUUCCUUUUCUUACUUAAUAAGAAUAGACCUUGGAGGUCUGGACCUGGACAUGAACGUACACUUUUCUAAAGAAGAUAUACACAUGGCCAACAAGCAUGUGAAAAAAAGCUCAAUAUCACUGAUCAUUAGAGAAAUGCAAAUGAAAAUCACAAUGAGAGACCAUCUCACACCAGUCAGAAUGGCUAUUAUUAAAAACUCAAAAAAUAACAGAUGCUGGCGAGGUUGCAGAGAAAAGGGAACACUUAUACACUGUUGGUGGGAGUGUAAAUUAGUUCAACUAUUGUGUAAAGCAAUAUGUCAAUUCCUCAAAGAGCUAAAAAAGAACUACCAUUGGACUCAGCAAUCCCAUUACUGGGUAUAUACUCAGAGGAAUAUAAGUCACUCUACUAUAAACACACACGCAUGCAAAUUUUCAUUGUAGCACUAUUUACAAUAGCAAAGACAUGGAAUCAACCUAAAUGCUCAUCAAUGACAGAUCGGAUAAAGAAAAUAUGCAUCUUCAACCUUUCUGGACUACAGCACCUGCCAACUGACCCCCACAUCAUGGCUCCAACGCUGGCUUCAUCACAUAUCUUCUCUCUCAGUCCCUUUGGCUCUCAGGGUGCAAUAGCUUAACAAAAUUGCUGAUCUAGGUGCCUCAGCAUUGUUUCUUUGUCAUAGUCUCUGUAUUAUCUUAUUUUGAGCCAUUCUUUUCCUGCAAAGAUCCUAACUGAAUGAGAUAACUACUUCAUAAGCUAUUUGUAAGGUUUAAAUAAAUUAAUGCAUAUUUAAUACA
ensembl:lncRNA novel transcript